UACAGAGGAUGCAAGCGUUAUCCGGAUUUAUUGGGUUUAAAGGGUGCGUAGGCGGCCUGUUAAGUCAGGGGUGAAAGACGGUAGCUUAACUAUCGCAGUGCCCUUGAUACUGAUGGGCUUGAAUGUAGUUGAGGCAGGCGGAAUGUGACAAGUAGCGGUGAAAUGCAUCGAUAUGUCACAGAACACCAAUUGCGAAGGCAGCUUGCUAAACUAUGAUUGACGCUGAGGCACGAAAGCGUGGGGAUCAAACAGG
rnacentral:rRNA from 1 species